GAUGAACGCUGGCGGCGUGCUUAACACAUGCAAGUCGAACGGAAAGGCCCAAGCUUGCUUGGGUGCUCGAGUGGCGAACGGGUGAGUAACACGUGGGUGAUCUGCCCUGCACUUUGGGAUAAGCCUGGGAAACUGGGUCUAAUACCGGAUAGGACCAUCGUUUAGUGUCGGUGGUGGAAAGUUUUUCGGUGUGGGAUGAGCUCGCGGCCUAUCAGCUUGUUGGUGGGGUAAUGGCCUACCAAGGCGUCGACGGGUAGCCGGCCUGAGAGGGUGUACGGCCACAUUGGGACUGAGAUACGGCCCAGUCUCCUACGGGAGGCAGCAGUGGGGAAUAUUGCACAAGGGGCGCAAGCCUGAUGCAGCGACGCCGCGUGGGGGAUGACGGCCUUCGGGUUGUAAACUCCUUUCGCCAAGGACGAAGCGUUUUGUGACGGUACUUGGAGAAGAAGCACCGGCUAACUACGUG
rnacentral:rRNA from 1 species